UACGUAGGGUGCGAGCGUUGUCCGGAAUUAUUGGGCGUAAAGGGCUCGUAGGCGGUUUGUCACGUCGGGAGUGAAAACUCAGGGCUCAACCCUGAGCCUGCUUCCGAUACGGGCAGACUAGAGGUAUGCAGGGGAGAACGGAAUUCCUGGUGUAGCGGUGAAAUGCGCAGAUAUCAGGAGGAACACCGGUGGCGAAGGCGGUUCUCUGGGCAUUACCUGACGCUGAGGAGCGAAAGCAUGGGGAGCGAACAGG
rnacentral:rRNA from 1 species